AGCAAUACGGGAGUGGCGCACGGGUGAGUAACACGUGGGAAUAUGCCCAGCAGUGGGGGAUAACCGAGGGAAACUUCGGCUAAUACCGCAUGCGCCCCUAGGGGGAAAGAUUUAUCGCUGUUGGAUUAGCCCGCGUCCGAUUAGCUAGUUGGUGUGGUAACGGCGCACCAAGGCGACGAUCGGUAGCUGGUCUGAGAGGAUGAUCAGCCACACUGGGACUGAGACACGGCCCAGACUCCUACGGGAGGCAGCAGUGGGGAAUAUUGGACAAUGGGGGCAACCCUGAUCCAGCCAUGCCGCGUGAGUGAAGAAGGCCUUAGGGUUGUAAAGCUCUUUCGGCGGGGACGAUGAUGACGGUACCCGCAGAAGAAGCCCCGGCUAACUCCGUGCCAGCAGCCGCGGUAAUACGGAGGGGGCUAGCGUUGUUCGGAAUUACUGGGCGUAAAGCGCGCGCAGGCGGCUAUUCUAG
rnacentral:rRNA from 1 species